CUCCGGUUGAUCCUGCCGGACCCGACUGCUAUCAGAGUGAGAUUAAGCCAUGCGAGUUAACGUAGCAAUACGUGGCGCACGGCUCAGUAACACGUAGUCAACAUGCCCAGAGGACGUGGAUAACCUCGGGAAACUGAGUCUAAACCGCGAUAAGUGAGGAUUUCUGGAAUGGUUCCUGACUAAAAUCUAUAUGGCCUCUGGAUUGGACUGCGGCCGAUCAGGCUGUUGGUGAGGUAAUGGCCCACCAAACCUGUAACCGGUACGGGCUCUGAGAGGAGGAGCCCGGAGAUGGGCACUGAGACAAGGGCCCAGGCCCUAUGGGGCGCAGCAGGCGCGAAACCUCUGCAAUGGGCGAAAGCCUGACAGGGUUACUCUGAGUGACUUUCGCUAAGAAAGUCUUUUGGCACCUCUAAAAAGGGUGCAGAAUAAGGGGUGGGCAAGUCUGGUGUCAGCCGCCGCGGUAAUACCAGCACCCCGAGUGGUCGGGACGAUUAUUGGGCCUAAAGCAUCCGUAGCCGGUUCUGCAAGUCCCCCGUUAAAUCCAGCUGCUCAACAGAUGGGCCGCGGAGGAUACUACAGAGCUAGGAGGCAGGAGAGGCAAGCGGUACUCAGUGGGUAGGGGUAAAAUCCGUUGAUCCAUUGAAGGCCACCAGUGGCGAAGGCGGCUUGCCAGAAUGCGCUCGACGGUGAGGGAUGAAAGCUGGGGGAGCAAACCGGAUUAGAUACCCGGGUAGUCCCAGCCGUAAACGAUGCAGACUCGGUGAUGGGUUGGCUUCGCGCUAACCCAGUGCCGCAGGGAAGCCGUUAAGUCUGCCGCCUGGGUAGUACGGUCGCAAGACUGAAACUUAAAGGAAUUGGCGGGGGAGCA
rnacentral:rRNA from 1 species